CCCGGACGCUCCCUCCCGAUCGUGCGGCUCGAGCCGCCGCACCCCCUCCCUUUCCGUUGUGCUGCAGUGUCUGCGCCUGGCUGCCUAAAAGGGCUGCGUCCCGCGCGCGCGUUGUACAUGUACGGACUUGUCAGCACUGGGUGACCUCCCUUCCCUUCUCCCUCCCCCGGCGGAAUCCAGGAUUAAGAGCCUUUCAGAGAAAUAUUCGGCCAAAGAAAAAGGCCCGUGAAAGUCAUCGCGUUAGAUAUGGACACCCAGUGUUAUUCACUAACUGAUUAUGGGAGGUUUUAUCAUCCAAAGGCAUAAAAGCAAACGGGGGUGGGGUGGGGAAGGACUGUUAAACAAAACAACUUUAUCCAAAAAGAGGUUGGGAGAUGGGGUGCAGUUGUGAAAUCGAAAAAAAAAAAAAAGGUACUAACAGAAGGAGUUGGGUUGGCCAUUAUAUUGGAAUCGAUGGGUUUUUGUCUGACUUGGUCACUAAUACUGGGUGUGACCUUGGACAAAUAAUUUGGUUUCUUGGAACCUUAGUUUUCUCCUCCCUGGAACGAGAGUUUCAUUUAAAUCCCGAACGGUUUAGGUGAACCUUAUCAAAACGGUUUAAGCAGGAGAGAGAAACCAUGGUUUCAAGUUCGAAGUAUGGCACUGAAUAAAGGACUUUUGACAGUCAUUUUCAGUCUACCCUAAUUAGAGAUCAUGCAUCCACUCUAUGUAUUAUACUGGUGUAUUUUAAUGGUUAGUAGUUUGCCAUGUAUUUUAAGUGGUGUAAGAGAUCCUCGUUUGGAACCAUUGUGUCUCUUCAAAUAGGAAAUCAAAAGGCUCAAAGGGACAGAUCACUGGUAAGAAGCUGUCUAUAAAUUCCAUGACGUAUAAUGCUAGUAAGAAUUUAUACUCAAAGAGAUUUGAGACUGAUUAGGACAGUAAAUUAACCUGCAGUUUUCAACCUCGGAACAUGAUUAUAAUAACGUAGGUGGCAAGAUUUCUAAUAUACAGGAAAUUACCUAAUAAUUUUAAGAGGCAAAUCUCUUAAAUUGGUUUAAAUUUUAGGAGGCUAUGGAAGUGAUUUAAAAAUAGCACUACCAUGCUAAAAUGCAUUUUCUGGUAAAAUAGAUACUCUUGUACAACCUGAAUGUCAGAGGCACCAUUCUUGGUAUUCUGGGCUCUUGAGUGUUCUUUAGAAUUUAAUAUUUUGGCCUUUACAAAGUCACAUUUUUAGGAUGAGGCCUGGAAAUCUGUAUUAGGAACCUCCUCACCCACCACUCAUGAUUCUAAAGUAAUAUAAAACUGAGAGUCCCUGUACUAUAUUUUAAUCCAAGUACAUCACAACAUUUAAGUUAUACUAUUCCUAGCUAGAAAAAAGUAAAGGCAUAGAAUUCAUGGAUUAGCUAUUUCUAGAAAAGGGUUUAUUUCCCCCUACCUCUUGAAUCAACAUCCUUGACUUUAAGAAAAGAUAAUUGCAACCACAAUUCUAAUCCUUCUAAAGUGCCAAGGGAAGAAUGUUCACUUUGAAGAAAAACAUUUGUGGCAUGAAAUCAGGAUAUUUUGUCCAUUGCAUGUAACUGAGUUUAAGUUGAUGCUCAAAUUGAAAACUUGACAAUACUUCCCUAAUUAAUCAUUAUCAAAUGUGUUUUAUAAAUACAGUCUCCUAACUUAAGAAAGAGUUCUGGAAUUUUGAGUUAGGAAAUGAAAAUUUUAAAUCAUUUACUAGCUAAAUGAGUUUGGAAAGAUCACUUCAUUUUUUGGAGUUUGUUUCCUCAUCUAUGAAAUGGAUAGUAAUUCCUGUUUUCUCAGGGAUGGUAUAGGUGCAAAUGAGAUAACCUAUGAAAGUAUCAUUGUAAACUGUUGACAUCCAGAAGUUUAACUCAUCUAAAAGGAGUAAAUAAAAUCAUAUGGCAUUGUCUUAUGUGCACAGAAUAAGGGAAAUGCCAAAAUUGAA